ACCCGACGGAACAAUUCCUUAAAGACACGGAAACAAGACCAAUCCUUCUCUACGAGUGCUACCAGAGCGGAAACAGUAUUGAUGCGCCAGGAACCAUUAACUUUACUACUCUCUAUGACGGCACGAGCCAAGCAACGACACUAAUUGAAGGUGUCACGUGGGCAGCAACAAAUGGAAGUACUGAAUCCUACGUUGUUGGUGCUUUUCUGGCUCGUUACGAUGCGGAGAGAAGUACCGGAGUGAUCUAUACCUAUAGUGAGUAAAUAGAAACUAGAGAAUUGAUUACAGUCACUCACUACAAA